rnacentral:lncRNA from 1 species
GACACCACCAUCUCUAAACAGACCACAAACACACAGCCGCAGCUCCUCGCUCACACACACGCACACACUGCAUCAACACACACACACACACACACACUGCAUCAACACACACACACACACACACUGCAUCAACACACGCACACACACUGCAUCAACACACACACACACACACACUGCAUCAACACACACACACACACUGCAUCAACACACACACACACACACACACACACACACACACACACACUGCAUCAACACACACACACACACACACUGCAUCAACACACACACACACUGCAUCAACACACACACACACACACACACUGCAUCAACACACGGACACACACACACUGCAUCAACACACACACACACACACACACACUGCAUCAACACACACACACACACACUGCAUCAACACACACACACACACACACACACACUGCAUCAACACACACACACACACACACACACACACACACACACACACACACACACACACACACACACACACACACACACACACACACACUGCAUCAACACACACACACACACACUGCAUCAACACACACACACACACUGCAUCAACACACACACACACACUGCAUCAACACACACACACACUGCAUCAACACACACACACACACACACACACUGCAUCAACACACACACACACACACACUGCAUCAACACACACACACACACACACACACACACACUGCAUCAACACACACACACACUGCAUCAACACACACACACACACUGCAUCAACACACACACACACUGCAUCAACACACACACACACACACACACACUGCAUCAACACACACACACGCACACACACUGCAUCAACACACACACACUGCAUCAACACACACACACACACACACACACACUGCAUCAACACACACACACACACUGCAUCAACACACACACACACACUGCAUCAACACACACACACACACACACUGCAUCAACACACACACACACACACUGCAUCAACACACACACACACACACACUGCAUCAACACACACACACGCACACACACUGCAUCAACACACACACACUGCAUCAACACACACACACACUGCAUCAACACACACACACACUGCAUCAACACACACACACACACACAAAGAUGAUAGAAGAUGCCUCUUUCUCUCCUCCUAACCUAAAAAUACCUAGUCUUAAAGUAACACUUUAA